UACGGGGGGGAGCAAACGUUGUUCGGAAUUACUGGGCGUAAAGGGCUCGUAGGCGGCCAACUAAGUCCGACGUGAAAUCCCAAGGCUUAACCUUGGAACUGCGUCGGAUACUGGAUGGCUUGAAUUCGGGAGAGGGAUGCAGAAUUCCAGGUGUAGCGGUGAAAUGCGCAGAUAUCAGGAGGAACACCAAUGGCGAAGGCAGCUCUCUGGUACGUGACUGACACUGAGACGCGAAAGCAUGGGGAGCCGAACAGG
rnacentral:rRNA from 1 species